rnacentral:rRNA from 1 species
UCCGUAGGUGAACCUGCGGAAGGAUCAUUACCGAGUGCGGGUCCUCGUGGCCCAACCUCCCACCCGUGACUAUUGUACCUUGUUGCUUCGGCGGGCCCGCCAGCCCUGCUGGCCGCCGGGGGGCGUCUCGCCCCCGGGCCCGUGCCCGCCGGAGACCCCAACAUGAACCCUGUUCUGAAAGCUUGCAGUCUGAGUGUGAUUCUUUGCAAUCAGUUAAAACUUUCAACAAUGGAUCUCUUGGUUCCGGCAUCGAUGAAGAACGCAGCGAAAUGCGAUAACUAAUGUGAAUUGCAGAAUUCAGUGAAUCAUCGAGUCUUUGAACGCACAUUGCGCCCCCUGGUAUUCCGGGGGGCAUGCCUGUCCGAGCGUCAUUGCUGCCCUCAAGCCCGGCUUGUGUGUUGGGUCCUCGUCCCCCGGCUCCGGGGGACGGGCCCGAAAGGCAGCGGCGGCACCGCGUCCGGUCCUCGAGCGUAUGGGGCUUUGUCUUCCGCUCUGCAGGCCCGGCCGGCGCCCGCCGGCGCAAUUUUUUGCAACCUUUUAUUUUUCCAGGUGAAAUCGAUCUGGUAGGAACCCGUAACUAG